GAUGAAGAACGUAGCGAAAUGCGAUAAGUAAUGUGAAUUGCAGAAUUCAGUGAAUCAUCGAAUCUUUGAACGCACCUUGCGCCCUUUGGCUAUUCCAGAGGGCAUGCCUGUUUGAGUAUCAUGAACACCUCAACUCUCAUGGUUCUGCCAUGAUGAGCUUGGACUUUGGAGGUCUUGCUGGCCCCUGUGGUCAGCUCCUCUCAAAUGGAUCAGCUUGCCAGUGUUUGGUGGCAUCACAGGUGUGAUAACUAUCUACGCUUGUGGUUUUCCACCAGGUAACCUUCAGUGAUGGAGGUUCGCUGGAGCUCAUAAACGUCUCUCCUCAGCGAGGACAGCUUCUUGAAUGUUUGAUCUCAAAUCAGGUAGGGCUACCCGCUGAACUUAGGCAUAUCAAUAAGCGGAGGA
rnacentral:misc_RNA from 1 species